AACGAACGCUGGCGGCAUGCCUAACACAUGCAAGUCGAACGAGAUCUUCGGGUCUAGUGGCGCACGGGUGCGUAACGCGUGGGAAUCUGCCCUUUGGUUCGGAAUAACAGUUGGAAACGACUGCUAAUACCGGAUGAUGACGAAAGUCCAAAGAUUUAUCGCCAGAGGAUGAGCCCGCGUAGGAUUAGCUAGUUGGUGUGGUAAAGGCGCACCAAGGCGACGGUCCUUAGCUGGUCUGAGAGGAUGAUCAGCCACACUGGGACUGAGACACGGGCCAGACUCCUACGGGAGGCAGCAGUGGGGAAUAUUGGACAAUGGGCGAAAGCCUGAUCCAGCAAUGCCGCGUGAGUGAUGAAGGCCUUAGGGUUGUAAAGCUCUUUUACCCGGGAUGAUAAUGACAGUACCGGGAGAAUAAGCUCCGGCUAACUCCGUGCCAGCCGCCGCAGUAA
rnacentral:rRNA from 1 species